GAUGCAAAUGGCAUGAUUUCAUUCUUCUUUAUGACUGAGUAAUAUUCCAUGGUGCACACCCCCCCCCAUAUCCGAAAGAAGGUGAAUUCUGCUAACAGCAAGAACAGACUUGGAAGAGAAGCUCAGCCUCCAGGGGAGAACACACCCAUAGCUGAUUCUCUGAUUGCAUCUUUUGGAGGCUGCGAGCAGAAGGCCUGGAUCACACAUGCCUGCAGCCCUGACCCACAGCCACUGUGAAGUAAGGCAUCUGCGUUGUUUUACGUUGCUAAGUUGGAGGAAAUUGUUACCCAGCACGUGCUCACUGGUAGGCAGCUAAGGACUGGCAGAGCCGAGUGGAGAAAAAUGAAGGGUUGACCAGAAGCCCCUUUCAUGGGUCUGCCUUGGAGGGUGAAGCAGCUGGGAAGUGGAUCCUCAGGCUGUGCUUUUAACGUACUCAUUUCUUGGCAAUUAGAAGGUAGAAAUUAAUGAGUAAAACAGCCCCUGAGCUGUUGAAAAGGCCCUGCUUCCAUGCAGGAAAGCAUGAGACAAGGAAAUAUAGCCAUGUCUGAUUGUGGCUUUUACUCUGACUCACUCAGAAUGUCGCUGCCAUCUCCGAGCCCAGCCAGAGUGACACCUGCCAGGUCCUUCAAGAGUGACCCACCAGGAGCCACGGCUUGUGGUUCACAGACACUCCUUCAACUCAGAACACAUCGUCUCAGCGGGAAUUUAGAGCCCAGAAGAGAAUCUGCAGGACUCUUCGCUCAGCCUGAGGGGAAAUGGGAAGCGGUUUUCCCUCCGCCUGGAGAAGGAAACCCCGAUUCUUCUCCCGCGUAGGUGGUGACACAGUCUCAGCAGAUUUCCCUUCGCCGGACGAAAUUCCAGAGAGUCCCUUGACUUUAUGGAGCACCCUAUUUAAUACGUAGAAAACGGAAGUGGCUGGUCCGGGUCCCCAGGACCGAAUUCCCUUGCCGUUUGUAGAAUCGAUGAAUCCGUUCCUGGUGAGUGUAC